rnacentral:rRNA from 1 species
AUGUGUGACGUCAGACCAGGAAGGCUCCUAGCCAUUGCUGUUGUAACCUCUCUUCUGAGCCUCGCUGCCGCUGCUUCUUCUUCUUCAUCUAACACCACCGACUUUGAAACCCUCCUUUGUUUGAAGCUCCACCUCUCCAGCAGCCCCAGUUCCGUCCUUGGCUCAUGGGUGCAGAACAACUCCCUCCCUUUCUGCAGCUGGCUCGGUCUCACUUGCAACGCAUCUCGCGUUGUCGCGCUGGACCUCGAGAACUCUGGCCUCGAUGGCCAGAUACCGCCCUGCAUCGCCAACCUCACCCUCCUCUCAAGAAUCCACUUCCCGGGCAAUCUUUUGAGCAGCCACAUCCCAUCGCAACUCGGGCAGCUGAGCAGGUGGAGCUACCUUAACCUCAGCUCCAGCAGCCUUAUUGGUUCCAUCCCCAACACCCUGUCCUCCACAUCCCUCCAGGUGAUUGAUCUUGGGAAUAACAAGCUUAGUGGAGAUAUCCCGAAAAGCAUCGGGAUGCUCCGCAAUCUCUCGGUUUUACGCCUUGCUCGUAACAGCUUGACAGGCCACAUUCCUCUUUCACUUGGAAGCAACAGCUCUAACUCCCUUGUUUCUGUCAUCCUCGCAAACAACUCCCUCACAGGACCCAUUCCGUCGGCCCUUGCUCACAGUUCAUCUCUUCAGGUGUUGAACUUGGUAAGAAACAACCUUGAUGGAGAGAUACCUCCUGCUCUUUUCAACAGCACAUCGCUUCAAAGAUUAGCCCUUGGAUGGAACAACUUUUCUGGUCUUGCAGGCACCAUACCGUCGACUCUGGGUAAUUUUUCUUCCCUUCGGAUCCUUCUGCUUGCGGCCAACAGUUUCAAAGGAAGUAUCCCAGUGAGUAUAGCAAAAAUCCCAAACUUGCAAGAACUAGAUAUUUCUUACAACCUUCUGUCGGGGACUGUCCCAACCCCCAUAUUCAACAUGUCUUCAGUCACCUACCUUAGUUUAGCCGUCAAUAAUUUUGUUGGGGAACUUCCAUUUGACAUCGGAUAUACACUUCCAAGCAUCCAAACAUUCAUACUGCAACAAAAUAAGGUUGGAGGAAAAAUCCCUGCAUCGCUAGCCAACGCAACCAAUUUCCUGUCCAUUAACCUUGGGGCCAAUGCAUUCUAUGGUACUAUCCCUUCUUUUGGGUCUCUUUCUAACCUAGAAGAGCUAAUUCUGGCAAGUAAUCAGCUAGAAGCUGGAGACUGGUCAUUCCUCUCCUCGUUGGCAAAUUGCACGCAGCUGCAGGUCUUGUCUUUGGGAACCAACAUGAUGCAAGGUAAUCUUCCGAGUUCAGUUGGUAGGCUUGCAAAUAGCCUACGGGCUUUGGUUCUGCACGCAAAUAAGAUGUCCGGUAGCAUACCACCAGAGCUAGGGAACCUCACAAACCUCUCAUUUCUUAGAAUGGAGCAGAAUCUGUUUGCUGGUGAUCUCCCCAACGCAAUUGGAAACCUUGCCAACUUGAGUUCCGUAGACUUGUCACAGAAUAGACUUUCUGGACAGAUUCCACGUUGGAUAGGCAAACUCCGUCAACUGACCAAGCUAUCCUUGCAAGAUAACAAUUUCAGUGGACCCAUUCCUAGGGAGCUAGGUGAUUGCCAGAGUUUAAUCACUCUCGACCUUUCGUGUAACGCGUUGAGUGAGAGCAUACCAAGAGAGCUCUUCUUUCUUGACUCUUUAUCUGCAGGUACUUCUGAGAUAGAUCUCUCUCGAAACAACUUGAGUGGUGAAAUUCCAAACUUGUUCCAGUCCUUCAAAUCUCUGAAGCUUCUCAACUUGUCCUUCAACGACCUUGAUGGUCAAAUGCCACAAGGGGGCAUAUUUGAAAAUUCUAGUGAGACACAGGCACACUUGGCGUACUCUAAAGAUAACUGGGAUCAGUGUGGCGGCUCUUGCUUUGGGGCAUAUGGAUCAGUAUACAAGGGUGUCCUUGAGUCUGAAACAAAUGGAAUGAUUGCUGUAAAAGUUUUCAAGCUUGAUCAACUUGGAGCACCAAAAAGCUUUGCUGCCGAGUGCGAGGCCUUUAGAAACACUCGUCAUCAUAAUCUCGUAAGGGUGAUUUCUGCCUGCUCAACAUGGGACCACAAAGGGAAUGAUUUCAAGGCUCUUAUUAUUGAAUACAUGGCUCACGGUACCCUAGAGAGCUGGAUUUAUUCGGAAACGAGAAGACCGUUGAGUUUGGGCUCCAGAGUAACAAUCACAGUGGAUAUGGCUGCUGCACUGGGUUAUUUACAUAACAGUUGCAUGCCCCCUAUAGUCCAUUGUGAUUUGAAGCCUAGCAAUGUGCUACUAGAUGAUGUCAUGGGUGCCCGUCUCAGUAACUUUGGGUUAGCUAAGUUCCUUCAAAAUCACAACUCUUCAAGUACUGUUACUUCUACGAGCUUAGCAGGACUGAGAGGAUCAAUUGGAUACAUUGCACCAGAGUAUGGCAUCGGGAACAAGAUCUCAACAGCGGGCGAUGUAUAUAGCUAUCGAAUUAUCAUCCUAGAAAUGCUCACUGGGAAACGCCCAACAGAUGAGUUGUUCAAGAAUGGUCUGAGCCUUCAGAAAUUUGUGGGAAAUGCAUUUCCUACAAAGAUCCACGAGAUACUUGAUCCUAAUGUCAUCAUCCAAAAUUUCGGAGACGAAGGCGUGGACAGAAACCUAGACCAAGGAAACCAUGCAAUGGUGGGAAUGCUGAGCUGCAUUAUGCAGCUUGCUCAGCUUGGUCUCUCAUGCUCCACGGAGACACCAAAAGAUUGGCCGACAAUGCCGGACGUCUACGCAGAAAUCUCCGCAGUCAAACGAGAAUACUUCUAUGCUUAUUUUGCUCAAGUGACUGAAAGAUAUGUUCCUGAAAAGCCUCUUGAAAUGAACUAUGUCGACGCCUACUGCCCAAUAUAUACUAUCAGUAGCACUUGUCCUCUGAUUGCGCGCAUGAUGCUACGAAAUUACCCGAUCCAUUUCGAGAGAAGCAGGAGCAACGGAGCAGGCGAGCUCGACCCAACCAGCGUUCCUCCGCUGAGACCCGGGGAGAUUUUGGCGGAGCAGGCCGGCAGCAGAGGUGGCUGGCAACGCCGCGGCGGCGGCUGGGGCAGAGGAGGGAUCGAAUCGAGUCUAACCAGUAACCAGACCAGCGAGUGCCUCUGCGCCUUCGGACCUCGGUGA